GACGAACGCUGGCGGCGUGCUUAACACAUGCAAGUCGAACGGAAAGGCCCUGCUUUUGUGGGGUGCUCGAGUGGCGAACGGGUGAGUAACACGUGAGUAACCUGCCCUUGACUUUGGGAUAACUUCAGGAAACUGGGGCUAAUACCGGAUAGGAGCUCCUGCUGCAUGGUGGGGGUUGGAAAGUUUCGGCGGUUGGGGAUGGACUCGCGGCUUAUCAGCUUGUUGGUGGGGUAGUGGCUUACCAAGGCUUUGACGGGUAGCCGGCCUGAGAGGGUGAACGGCCACAUUGGGACUGAGAUACGGACCAGACUCCUACGGGAGGCAGCAGUGGGGAAUAUUGCACAAUGGGCGGAAGCCUGAUGCAGCAACGCCGCGUGCGGGAUGCCGGCCUUCGGGUUGUAAACCGAUUUCGCCUGUGCCGAAGCGUGAGUGACGGUAAUGGGUCAAGAAGCACCGGCUAACUACGUG
rnacentral:rRNA from 1 species